rnacentral:rRNA from 1 species
UGGAGAGUUUGAUCCUGGCUCAGAUUGAACGCUGGCGGCAGGCCUAACACAUGCAAGUCGAGCGGAAACGAGUUAUCUGAACCUUCGGGGAACGAUAACGGCGUCGAGCGGCGGACGGGUGAGUAAUGCCUAGGAAAUUGCCCUGAUGUGGGGGAUAACCAUUGGAAACGAUGGCUAAUACCGCAUGAUGCCUACGGGCCAAAGAGGGGGACCUUCGGGCCUCUCGCGUCAGGAUAUGCCUAGGUGGGAUUAGCUAGUUGGUGAGGUAAGGGCUCACCAAGGCGACGAUCCCUAGCUGGUCUGAGAGGAUGAUCAGCCACACUGGAACUGAGACACGGUCCAGACUCCUACGGGAGGCAGCAGUGGGGAAUAUUGCACAAUGGGCGCAAGCCUGAUGCAGCCAUGCCGCGUGUGUGAAGAAGGCCUUCGGGUUGUAAAGCACUUUCAGUCGUGAGGAAGGUGUUAAUAGCAUUUGACGUUAGCGACAGAAGAAGCACCGGCUAACUCCGUGCCAGCAGCCGCGGUA